UACGUAGGGUGCAAGCGUUGUCCGGAAUUAUUGGGCGUAAAGAGCUCGUAGGCGGUUUGUCGCGUCGAAUGUGAAAACCCGGGGCUCAACCCCGGGCCUGCAUUCGAUACGGGCAGACUAGAGUUCGGUAGGGGAGUCUGGAAUUCCUGGUGUAGCGGUGAAAUGCGCAGAUAUCGAGAGGAACACCUGCGGCGAAGGCGGGUAGCUGGGCCGACACUGACGCUGAGGCGCGAAAGCCAGGGGAGCGAACGGG
rnacentral:rRNA from 1 species